AAGGAUUUAAGUUAAACCUAAACUAUAAACCUUCAAAGUUUAUAAUAAUUUUAUAAUUAAGCCUUA
rnacentral:tRNA from 1 species